rnacentral:misc_RNA from 1 species
GUGCGUUGCUAAGAAGUCACUGUGCUGGACUUGUGACAUGUAGUGAUGUAAUGCCAUUUUUAAUUCUAGAUAGAAAAAAAUGUGGUUUUUUUUUGACAACAUAGAUCAGGUGCCAACUCAGAGAUUAUAGUCUGACAAAUUUGCCAUUACAAAACAAUAGACCAUCAAGUAGAAAUUACAUGGCAUGGCAGCAUUGCAGAUGAGUCAAAGAUCACAGGUCUCUAUUCAGAAAAUAGAAAAGAGAAAGAUAACAAGGGAAGUUAGUGCUCCAGCAAGAAACCAGCUUUUGAUGUUGCUAAUAAUAUUUUUCAUUGCAGAUGAACAGCUGGUUGGUUUAGGCAAUGGCUGUGGUUCUGCUGGAGAUUCGACAAAAGGUUCUGAUGUCAAACUUGAUGGUGUGGGUGAAGUUUCUGCAUUUUCCGUUGGCGAGCUUGUUAAAGAAGGCGCAACAGUAUCUGGACCAGAAUCAUGGGGUUUUGGAACCACUGAACUCGUUGUACUCUGGAGAGGGGGCAAUGCUGGCGACCCUGAACAAAUCGAUUCCAGAGAUCCUCUGUCCUUCAUCGCCAAGCUGCCAUUUCCGGAGGAACAAAUAAAAGGCAAAGAAACCACUCUUGAUUUGUUCAGCGGGAAUCCAAAGAAGAGAGGCUGCCUCAUAAGGUAACAGAAGCAGUUACCAUCGCUGGAAUUGAAAGCCUUAGAGAAAGCGUCGCAGCACUGAGAGGUAGCCGUGUCCGUGCGGUUAUUUGGCUUCACGGAGACGUAGCCAAGGCACGGGGAGAAAGCGACGAGCUCGUCAGUGCAGCCUGGGGGUAAUGGCGGUGGCAGUGAAGCA